GAUGAACGCUGGCGGCGUGCCUAAUACAUGCCAGUCGAGCGAACAGACGAGAAGCUUGCUCCUCUGACGUUAGCGGCGGACGGGUGAGUAACACGUGGAUAACCUACCUAUAAGACUGGGAUAACUUCGGGAAACCGGAGCUAAUACCGGAUAAUAUAUUGAACCGCAUGGUUCAAUAGUGAAAGACGGUCUUGCUGUCACUUAUAGAUGGAUCCGCGCUGCAUUAGCUAGUUGGUAAGGUAACGGCUUACCAAGGCAACGAUGCGUAGCCGACCUGAGAGGGUGAUCGGCCACACUGGAACUGAGACACGGUCCAGACUCCUACGGGAGGCAGCAGUAGGGAAUCUUCCGCAAUGGGCGAAAGCCUGACGGAGCAACGCCGCGUGAGUGAUGAAGGUCUUCGGAUCGUAAAACUCUGUUAUUAGGGAAGAACAUAUGUGUAAGUAACUGUGCACGUCUUGACGGUACCUAAUCAGAAAGCCACGGCUAACUACGUG
rnacentral:rRNA from 1 species